GUGGGUGUAGCUCAGUGGUUGAGCAUGUGCUUUAUAUGUACAAGGUCCUAGGUUCAAUCCCUGGUACCUCCU
rnacentral:tRNA from 1 species